rnacentral:rRNA from 1 species
AUUGAACGCUGGCGGCAGGCUUAACACAUGCAAGUCGAGCGGAGAUGAGGUGCUUGCACCUUAUCUUAGCGGCGGACGGGUGAGUAAUGCUUAGGAAUCUGCCUAUUAGUGGGGGACAACAUUCCGAAAGGAAUGCUAAUACCGCAUACGUCCUACGGGAGAAAGCAGGGGAUCUUCGGACCUUGCGCUAAUAGAUGAGCCUAAGUCGGAUUAGCUAGUGGGUGGGGUAAAGGCCUACCAAGGCGACGAUCUGUAGCGGGUCUGAGAGGAUGCUCCGCCACACUGGGACUGAGACACGGCCCAGACUCCUACGGGAGGCAGCAGUGGGGAAUAUUGGACAAUGGGGGGAACCCUGAUCCAGCCAUGCCGCGUGUGUGAAGAAGGCCUUAUGGUUGUAAAGCACUUUAAGCGAGGAGGAGGCUACUGAGACUAAUACUCUUGGAUAGUGGACGUUACUCGCAGAAUAAGCACCGGCUAACUCUGUGCCAGCAGCCGCCGUAACAC